rnacentral:rRNA from 1 species
UACGAAGGGGGCUAGCGUUGUUCGGAAUUACUGGGCGUAAAGCGCACGUAGGCGGAUAUUUAAGUUAGGGGUGAAAUCCCAGGGCUCAACCCUGGAACUGCCUUUAAUACUGGGUAUCUCGAGUCCGAGAGAGGUGAGUGGAAUUCCGAGUGUAGAGGUGAAAUUCGUAGAUAUUCGGAAGAACACCAGUGGCGAAGGCGACUUACUGGACACAUAUUGACGCUGAGGUGCGAAAGCGUGGGGAGCAAACAGG